GAUUGGAGAUAUUUCAUUGGUUUUCUCCAGAAUAAGGGCCAGGAUAAAAGGAGGGCCAAGGAACUCUUAAAUUAUGAAGUGAAUAGCAACACUGAUGUUAGCCUCUUUUAUUUAAGUUCCUGCUGCCCAGGUAUCAUGGAUUCAGACGGCAAAAUACAGUGCCCUUAUGACCCAAGCCAUUUCAUAUCAGAACAUCGAAUGCAGUAUCACCUUGCACAAUGCAAAAUAAAAAACCCAAAGAAGGCAAAAGAAAUGGCUAGCUGUAAAUACAAUGCUCGUCAUGUGGUCCCACGUGAAAACCUCCAAAAACAUGAGGCUACCUGUCAAAACAAAAUCGAUUUUGAUUAGAAUGGACUGCAAGCAGCUCAAACACAAAUUUAUAAAGGUCAAAGUGGGCCACAGGGAAAAGCUGCCAGAUGAAGAAUCAAUAGAAGGCUUAAAUUUUUAACAUUGACUUUUAAACUCUAGAUUGCCAAGUUUUUAAGUGAUUAACUAUUUUUUUAAUUGUCACUGAUACUUUUUUUAACACUUAAUAAAUGUUUUUAUAUACCUCACUGUCAACAAUAA